rnacentral:rRNA from 1 species
GAUGAACGCUGGCGGCGUGCCUAAUACAUGCAAGUCGAGCGAACGGACGAGAAGCUUGCUUCUCUGGUGUUAGCGGCGGACGGGUGAGUAACACGUGGAUAACCUACCUAUAAGACUGGGAUAACUUCGGGAAACCGGAGCUAAUACCGGAUAAUAUUUUGAACCGCAUGGUUCAAAAGUGAAAGACGGUCUUGCUGUCACUUAUAGAUGGAUCCGCGCUGCAUUAGCUAGUUGGUAAGGUAACGGCUUACCAAGGCAACGAUGCAUAGCCGACCUGAGAGGGUGAUCGGCCACACUGGAACUGAGACACGGUCCAGACUCCUACGGGAGGCAGCAGUAGGGAAUCUUCCGCAAUGGGCGAAAGCCUGACGGAGCAACGCCGCGUGAGAGAUGAAGGUCUUCGGAUCGUAAAACUCUGUUAUUAGGGAAGAACAUAUGUGUAAGUAACUGUGCACAUCUUGACGGUACCUAAUCAGAAAGCCACGGCUAACUACGUG